rnacentral:lncRNA from 1 species
AGUUCAUGCCGGAUGGAAAGCAUGUCAUGUGUAGAAUAACAUCAGUCUGUCCCAUGUUUACAAAGGCCCGGAUGCCUGAAACAGCACAUAAUGACCCGCUCUAAAUGAAAGUACAUGAGCAUAUUUGGGCCAAUUCUUCUUUUCACAUCACCAUCUGCUCCUGUCUGCAUCCAGCGCUGGAGCACGACUGAGAUGGUUGUCUGUAGGCGUUUAGACAUAUGGAAGCAAAAUACUCACGACGUUCCCGCGUUAGACGUGAAGGUGACGGGUUCACGGUCGCUGAUUCCAGAUCUGAUGACAGACUGUUAAACAGAUCGCUCAUUAUGGCCUUCGUUCCCUCUGCUGUGUUGAGACCUGGACACCAGAGAAAUAUACAGAACGUCACAGGAAACACCUCGAAGGCCUGUUAUUUUGAUCUUUACAUGCAGAAGAACCCUUGAUUGUUUCAUGCUUCAAGCUGUUAUGUGUUUGGUGGCAUUUUCGCUCGAGAAGAUUUUUCCCAAGAGAAGAACCUGAAUGCAGGCCUGCAGCUUUCGGUCUGGGACGUCCAGUCAGUGACCGGCUGAGACAGGACUGCUGACCCAGACGCCAGCACUGCUGAUGCUUUCAUCUGUGUCCCGCUGCGGCCUGCAAACAGCUUCCACACUCGCAGAGCUUAGCACAGUGUGACACUUCAGAUAUAAACAGCACUUUCUGAAUGACUAAGGAGCAAAGCAGCACUUCUGCAGGAACAUCAAUAAACUGCAGUAUAUGCUGGAUGGUGCUGACCUUUACAUGACCUUCACACGUUUGGGAACAGGGAAUAUUCUUCCAAGUUUUACUAAUGUUUUUUUGUUAUAAUAAAAAAAAGUUUUUAAAGUAAUGUUUAUGGAACAUUCUUAUGACGUAAUUAAUAAAUUCUAAUAACACUGAGAGAAAAAGAAACAUUCUUGGAAUUAUGGUUGAUAAACAUUCCGAGAAGUGUUAUUGUACAUUAAAUAAUGCUCUAAUCACAACAAGGGAACUAGACAUUUUAACGGUUUCAGAACAUUAAAAUGAAAUGUUCAGAUAACAUAAAAUUUUAAGUGAAAAUGGGAGCUUGUAAGAAUUAUUAUUAUUAUUUUUUUUUUUGUAACUUUAAAUUUGUCUAUAAGCAGAACACUUGAUUAUAUAAAAGAAUAUUAAAACUAAAUGUUCAAAUAACGUUACAUUUUGG